rnacentral:misc_RNA from 1 species
UUACAUCAGACCCAAACCUAUGGAAAAACGUGAAAAAUAACAAAUACAUGAGUUUUGGACAGCAAUCAUACACCAUAAUAACAGUAAAUAUGACAAAAUCUUUGAAAUUUGAAUAUCUUACCCUUCUUUUUAUAUCAAAUUCAACAAUAGAAGUUAUAAUCAAUAUUCCCCAGAAUCACUCUUUUAAAUGGGUGCAUAUCCAAUAAAUGACAUCUUCACAGAUAUGAGCGCGGAGCUCUCAUCUGAAGAAAGUGAG